GAUGAACGCUGGCGGCGUGCCUAAUACAUGCAAGUCGAGCGAACGGACGAGACGUUUGCUUCUCUGUUGUUAGCGGCGCACGUGUGAGUCACACGUGUAUCCCCUACCUAUCUGUCUGGGAUCACUUCGGGACACCGGCUCUAAUACCGUAUGAUCUUUUGCUCCGCAUGGUUCAAAAGUGAAUGUCGGUCUUUCUGUCUCUUAUAGCUGGAUCUCCGCUGCAUGAGCUAGUUGGUAAGGUAACGGCUUACCACGGCAACGAUGCAUAGCAGAACUGAGAGGGGGAUAGGCGACACGGGAAGUGAGACAGGGACAAGACUACUACGGGAGGCAGCAGUAGGGAAUGGUACGCAGUGGGCGAAAGCCUGACGGAGCAACGCCGCGUGAGAGAUGAAAAUGUUCGGAUCGUAAUGCUCUGUUAUGAGGGAAAAACAUAUGUGGAAGGAACUGUGCACAGAUUGACGGUAACUAAUCAGAAAGCAACGGCUAACUACGUG
rnacentral:rRNA from 1 species